rnacentral:rRNA from 1 species
GACGAACGCUGGCGGCGUGCUUAACACAUGCAAGUCGAGCGGUAAGGCCCUUUCGGGGGUACACGAGCGGCGAACGGGUGAGUAACACGUGGGUGACCUGCCCUUAGCUCUGGGAUAAGCCUGGGAAACUGGGUCUAAUACCGGAUAUGACUCCAUGACGCAUGUUGUGGGGUGGAAAGCCUUGUGCGGCUAGGGAUGGGCCUGCGGCCUAUCAGCUUGUUGGUGGGGUGAUGGCCUACCAAGGCGACGACGGGUAGCCGGCCUGAGAGGCGACCGGCCACACUGGGACUGAGACACGGCCCAGACUCCUACGGGAGGCAGCAGGUGGGGAAUCUUGCGCAAUGGGCGAAAGCCUGACGCAGCGACGCCGCGUGGGGA